CAUUAGAUGACUGAAAGAAAGUAUGGGUCUCUUAAACCUUUUAAUAGUAAUUAACGCCUACUUCUAAUG
rnacentral:tRNA from 1 species